rnacentral:tRNA from 1 species
UUUAGGGAGACCUACCCUAUCAAACACCGAAACACACUGUUUAAACACACUGUUUGAAGUUCAGGUAAUACCUGAGGUUCAGGCAAUUACAAACUGGAAUAGGAGUUGAUAAGGUCAUCCCAAGGUCGUUAGGAUUUUCUUGAUGGAGACCUUCAAGCUGAUCUAGGUUUUACUUCAGAUUGGAAUUGAGUAGAGUCUGGGGUAGAAGGAGCUACGCGGGCUAUUAGCUCAGGUGGUUAGAGCGCACCCCUGAUAAGGGUGAGGUCCCUGGUUCGAGUCCAGGAUGGCCCACCUUCAAUAAGUAAGCAUUGGAACCCAGGUAAAUUGAUUAAUUGCUGCCCGAGUGAAAGGGGAGUAAGUAAUUGCUGGGUUGAGGUGUGAACAAUUGAAGAGAAGAGAGAAGAUUCAGCAAUUUCUUUAGAUUAUUCGAAGAGGAUAACUAGAGAGCCUGCUGGGUGAGAACUCAGUAUCUGAGUGAGGAACUCAGGUGAGGACCUUGAAAACUGCAUAGAGAAGAAAGAGUAAGUCAGGUAGAACAUUGUUAUUGGGCCUGAGUUCUGCUGAGAGUUAAAGCCAGGGAAGGUUAGCGAUAACCCGACCCGGGUGAUGACGGAGGCAAGAGAUUCAGAGACAUUCAGUCAAUUAAUUGGAGUUGACUGAGUGAACUAAUAACAAAUUUACAGACACCAAUGAAACUCAAGUAAUGAAACUGGGGCGAAGCGACUCAAGGAAUUGAGAUUCAAGGAAUUGAGAUUCAAGGAAUUGAGAUUCAAGGAAUUGAGAUUCAAGGAAUUGAGGAUGAGGCGCAGUAGUUUCGAGCAAAGAAUUACCUAGU